rnacentral:tRNA from 1 species
UAGCCUAGUGGUUAAGGUCACGGAUCGCCAAUCCGGAGACGGCGGGUACGAUUCCCGU